UGGGUGUCCGAGUUGUAAUCUCAAAAAGUGUUUUCCGCGUUGGACCGCAACAAGUCUGUUGGAAUACAGCGGCAUAGUGGUGAGACCCCCGUAUAUGGUGCGGACGCCCAACGCUUUGUGAUACACUUUCGAAGAGUCGAGUUGUUUGGGAAUGCAGCUCAAAUUGGGUGGUAAAUUCCAUCUAAAGCUAAAUAUUGGCGAGAGACCGAUAGCGAACAAGUACCGUGAGGGAAAGAUGAAAAGCACUUUGGAAAGAGAGUUAACAGUACGUGAAAUUGUUGGAAGGGAAACGCUUGAAGUCAGACUUGCUUGCCGAGCAAUCGGUUUGCAGGCCAGCAUCAGUUUUCCGGGGUGGAUAAUGGUAGAGAGAAGGUAGCAGUUUCGGCUGUGUUAUAGCUCUUUGCUGGAUACACCUUGGGGGACUGAGGAACGCAGUGUGCCUUACGGCGGAUUUCUCGAGAUCUUCACACUUAGGAUGCUGGUGGAAUGGCUUUAAACGACCCGUCUUGA
rnacentral:rRNA from 1 species